UACGGGGGGGGCAAGCGUUGUUCGGAAUUACUGGGCGUAAAGGGUGUGUAGGUGGCGCCGUAAGUCGGGUGUGAAAUUUCGGAGCUUAACUCCGAAACUGCAUUCGAUACUGCGGUGCUUGAGGACUGGAGAGGAGACUGGAAUUCAUGGUGUAGCAGUGAAAUGCGUAGAGAUCAUGAGGAAGACCAGUGGCGAAGGCGGGUCUCUGGACAGUUCCUGACACUGAGACACGAAGGCCAGGGGGGCAAACGGG
rnacentral:rRNA from 1 species